rnacentral:rRNA from 1 species
UCUGACGGCAAAUGGCAUUGUCGGAUUACUGGCAACCCGCGGAACAGUUAAACGUUCUUAUACUCAUGAGCUGAUCGCGCGUUUCGCUAAUGAAUGCCAGAUAGAAAUGCUGGGCUCGGCAGAGAUGGUUGAGUUGGCUGAAGCGAAGCUACAUGGCGAAGAUGUUUCUCUGGAUGCACUAAAACGUAUCCUACGCCCGUGGUUAAGAAUGAAAGAGCCGCCAGAUACCGUUGUAUUGGGUUGCACCCAUUUCCCUCUACUACAAGAAGAACUGUUACAAGUGCUGCCAGAGGGAACCCGGCUGGUGGAUUCUGGCGCAGCGAUUGCUCGCCGAACGGCCUGGUUGUUAGAACAUGAAGCCCCGGAUGCAAAAUCUGCCGAUGCGAAUAUUGCCUUUUGUAUGGCAAUGACGCCAGGAGCUGAACAAUUAUUGCCCGUUUUACAGCGUUACGGCUUCGAAACGCUCGAAAAACUGGCAGUUUUAGGCUGAUUUGGUUGAAUGUUGCGCGGUCAGAAAAUUAUUUUAAAUUUCCUCUUGUCAGGCCGGAAUAACUCCCUAUAAUGCGCCACCACUGACACGGAACAACGGCAAACACGCCGCCGGGUCAGCGGGGUUCUCCUGAGAACUCCGGCAGAGAAAGCAAAAAUAAAUGCUUGACUCUGUAACGGGAAAGCGUAUUAUGCACACCCCGCGCCGCUGAGAAAAAGCAAAGCGGCACUGCUCUUUAACAAUUUAUCAGACAAUCUGUGUGAGCACUCGAAGAUACGGAUUCUUAACGUCGAAAGACGAAAAAUGAAUACCAAGUCUCAGGAGUGAACACGUAAUUCAUUACGAAGUUUAAUUCUUUGAGCAUCAAACUUUUAAAUUGAAGAGUUUGAUCAUGGCUCAGAUUGAACGCUGGCGGCAGGCCUAACACAUGCAAGUCGAACGGUAACAGGAAGAGCUUGCUCUUGCUGACGAGUGGCGGACGGGUGAGUAAUGUCUGGGAAACUGCCUGAUGGAGGGGGAUAACUACUGGAAACGGUAGCUAAUACCGCAUAACGUCGCAAGACCAAAGAGGGGGACCUUCGGGCCUCUUGCCAUCGGAUGUGCCCAGAUGGGAUUAGCUAGUAGGUGGGGUAACGGCUCACCUAGGCGACGAUCCCUAGCUGGUCUGAGAGGAUGACCAGCCACACUGGAACUGAGACACGGUCCAGACUCCUACGGGAGGCAGCAGUGGGGAAUAUUGCACAAUGGGCGCAAGCCUGAUGCAGCCAUGCCGCGUGUAUGAAGAAGGCCUUCGGGUUGUAAAGUACUUUCAGCGGGGAGGAAGGGAGUAAAGUUAAUACCUUUGCUCAUUGACGUUACCCGCAGAAGAAGCACCGGCUAACUCCGUGCCAGCAGCCGCGGUAAUACGGAGGGUGCAAGCGUUAAUCGGAAUUACUGGGCGUAAAGCGCACGCAGGCGGUUUGUUAAGUCAGAUGUGAAAUCCCCGGGCUCAACCUGGGAACUGCAUCUGAUACUGGCAAGCUUGAGUCUCGUAGAGGGGGGUAGAAUUCCAGGUGUAGCGGUGAAAUGCGUAGAGAUCUGGAGGAAUACCGGUGGCGAAGGCGGCCCCCUGGACGAAGACUGACGCUCAGGUGCGAAAGCGUGGGGAGCAAACAGGAUUAGAUACCCUGGUAGUCCACGCCGUAAACGAUGUCGACUUGGAGGUUGUGCCCUUGAGGCGUGGCUUCCGGAGCUAACGCGUUAAGUCGACCGCCUGGGGAGUACGGCCGCAAGGUUAAAACUCAAAUGAAUUGACGGGGGCCCGCACAAGCGGUGGAGCAUGUGGUUUAAUUCGAUGCAACGCGAAGAACCUUACCUGGUCUUGACAUCCACAGAACUUU